CGGGCCCCUUACCUCUUAUUUCAAGUUGUCUAAGCCCAGUCCAUCAGGACUUGACCCAAGCUAACUUUAAAAAAUAUAAUAGCACCAGUCCACAGCCAAACGACCCUCUUAGGGGUCAUUUGGCAUUUUCACGAAGGGUCUUUGAAACUCUAGGCACCGCCAAGUGGCGAUGCCUCUCUCUCCUCGUCACUAUUGCCUGAAAUGGAAAAAUGGCAAGUGGUAUAUGCCUUUACAGUCAUGGUUCAACCAUUUGAGGCAACAUAUUUAUUAUUCUUCCGCUUUUUCGCUCAAUCUCAACCAAACAUGGUAUUACCUUGGGUUUUCGCUUUUCCUUCUUCGAUUAUUUGUAUUAUCAACGGUCAACACUGUAUUUUCUUUAAUUACUUUUGUUUGUUUUUUAUUUGAAAUACUGUGUUGUGAUUGGUUCUUGAUGAACCUUUUCGGAUCGAGUUUUGUUGGUUAAAAUCCAACCUUUGAUGUUUCUUGUGAUUAAAUCUUGACCCUACAACUGCGAUUAGUGAGGAGGAAAUCCCAUAGUUGGGAUUUAUCCCACAUCGCGAAGUUAGGGUUUGACGGGUUUGAAGAAUUGCUAUAAAAAGAGGCAUUUGCCCACAUUUUUAAGGAGGAAAAAAUGUAUUUUCAAGAAAAAAUAGAGGCUUAAACUCAGUUUUGGCAAUACUUGCUUUGAGACUGAAGUUUAAGGAGUUAAAAUUUUAAAUUAUUUUUCGAGUCUGUGGUUGAGUUUGAUUUGGGAAGGAAGAGUCUCCAAGUUCGAAUUUCGACUAAAGACUGCACAAGAAGGAGGUAAUUUUCCUUUGCAUUUUUUUUCUCUCUAUUCCUGCUUUAAUCUUUUGUUGUGCUAGUCUACUUGAUUAUUUUAGUUAACUUGUCCUGUUAAUACAGUGUAGUCUAUGUGUGUGAUUAGGCAAAUUAAUUGGCUUAAUAUAUGUAUUUAGUUUGAUUUCAGUAGGUAAGAUGAUGUGAUAAGCUUAAGGUAUGUUGAUUAGAUGAACACUAAUACUGCUUUCAAUAAAGGAAUUCACUUAACACACUUAGUUAAUCUAGUUUAACUAAAAUAAGCCCAUAUUGGCUUUGCCCUUAAUAACUUGCUCAACCUUAAUCAAAUAGGCUUUACUUGUUUGUUAAUCCAACCUAUCUAUAAUGAAAAAGUAGGGUUCUAUAGUUUAAGUCUUGAUAUGAUAAGGAAACAGUGCUUAUGCACUGUUAAAAUCAAACUAGCUACAUUAUAGGUUAAGUGUCUAAUCUGUAUGGCCAAACAUGCCCCUUUUCUAGCCAUUUCAUGUCUAAAUUUAUUCAUGUCUAAAUCUGUGCUAUAUUGCUUAAAUAAGAGGUGUAUUAUUGCUCUGUUGGGAGCUGGGUACAUGAUUGUUAGUUGUUGUUGACUUGAGCAAUAUGUGUUAUUAUCUUAUGGGGAGAUAGUUGGAUGGUUACUAGACACUAUUAGCUUGAAUAUGAUCAGUAGAGUUAAUUGUCAACUUGAUUGCUUUUGCUAUACUUUUCCUAGGUUGUUUUUGGCCUGUUUGGUCUGAUGAUCUUAUAUUUGAUAGGCAGUACUGCAAUAAAUUUAAGUUUAGGAAACUUUUGGUUGAUUUUCAUUGAAUUAGACCGUGUUUAAACCUUUAUUCCUGUCUUAUGAUAACUUCUACUAAGUCUGAUUGUCAACAUGUCAAGCUUAGUUUUUCUCAACUUAGUUCACUAAAAAAAGGAUAAGAAAACAACUUGUCUAAAUCUUGGGACUUUGUUUAAAAAAAUAUAUAGAAGUUUUGCCUAGUUGAUAGUAGUGUUUGUUUAUUGCUUUGCUCUGCUCUGAAGCUACCUUCCCACCAUUCUUGGUAAAUCUUAAAAUUAAAUGGUGUAUGAAUCUGUUGAGGUUUUGUUUAGACUGGAGUUGUACCUUUAUAUAUCAAAUUGAGUUGUCUGUAGUAAUCAAGAUCCUUACAUACUCCUUGGGAGGUAUGAGGCUUAUGCCAUCAAAUUGAUCUAACCGAUUUCAAUCUAAAAAGGGAGUCUUUAACUGAGUCCUAAGUGCUAGAAUCUAUGUUCAAAAUGUUCUAAAAUUGGCACUUAUGAUAUGUGACUCAUGAGGACAGUCAAGACCUUUGUGUUUGGGUAAGAAGUGAUGAGAUGUUGGUCCUUUAAGUCCAUUACAAAUUGCCUCAUGAGGCAGUUUUGUGCAAGACAUAUAUUAGUUUGCACUAGCUAUAACAUUAUCAUUUGAUGUUUAGUUUCGAAUAGAAAAUGAUUUCAAAACCUAUCUUCCCCUGCUUGUUUCUGCCCUCAUCUUGCAACUAUACAUAUGUGUUUCCCUUUAUCUGUGUCUGAUUAAAAGACUUAUUGCAAAAAACUGGAUUUAGAGUUGGUACAUGGUAAGUGUGAUCAUAAGUUUAAAAGAAUAAGUUGGCAAGAGUUUAUCAUUUGAUAUUUGAAAUAAAAAGGAGAGAGUAGAAACAUUCAUGGUCACAAUAUCUUCUUGACCCUUGACCUAUGAAUCCCUUCUAUUGUUUUUCUGAUGCUGUCUAUUUGACUUGGCUGAAACGUUUAUGUUUGAGGGUCUAUCUUUUUGUUUCAUCAUCUAUUAUGUAGAGUUGUCUCAUAUAUAUAUAUAUAUAUAUAUAUAUAUAUAUAUAUAUAUAUAUAUAUAUAUAAUAAAUGAAAGGAUACACCUAGAUAUAUGGGAUAUACUCAAGCUCUAUACACCUCACAAGUGUAUAAAGGCUGGUAUACCUAAUCUAUAUGGUGUAUAUCAUUACUAUGAGUCUAUUGGCUUUAAUAUUUGUUCAGUUUUUUAGGAGUUCAGGGCCAGUUUCUUGGGCCUUUCCUAAGUGCCUAAGCAUAAUUCAUUAGUUAGCCCAGUUUUGUUGUACUUCUGAUGAUUGACAUUAUUUGGGGUUUGCGGUUCUCUUCCUAUUACUGUUUCUGCUUGGGCCUGAUUGUUCUUUAAAGGGUGUUCAUUAUUAAAUAUUACAACACACCCAACUGGUUGUAUAUUGUUUGUACACUAUAGCUAAUUUUUCAUGAAGGAUUGUGCAUACAAAUAUUAAUGCUUUCUCUCUUGUAUACCAAACCUUAGCACAUAAAUAGAGAUGCUUAAUAGCACUCAAGGAUCAAGCUUAAGUCUUCCCUGGUGUCUGCCAUGCCUAGGGUUCCAAGAAACCUCUUGGAUCUUGCACAACAUCAGGAAUAAGAAGACAAAAGCUUUCCUUUUUGGGCUAUUCACGUAUCUCCAUGAAUGUGUAUAUCCAAGGUAUAUUAAGUUUGAAGUCCUAUAUAUUUGUAUGACACUGCCCAGUGCUUAUUUUAAGAAGAUUGAUCUCGUAUACCUUUCUUUAGCUAUGUAAAUAUUUUGGUCUGCUUCUAUGUGCUUUGGGUUUGUGCAUAAUUUUUGGGCUUACUUUGUUUAUGUGCCUCUAAUACUUAGUCGAUUCUAGGCUCUGUUCUGGCUUGCUUUGUACAUCUGAGCAUUACUUGAAUUCACUUUCAUUUUGCCAUCUCAAUUUGCACAAGUCCUAAUCUUUAUCUUUUUCUAUCCUUGCUUGCAUGAAAUGCCAUCGUAGGGUGAUCUCUCUUGCAUAAACCCAUUGGGCCAAAGGCCCAAUGAUUUCUUUUGAUCAAGUCCGCUGAGAAAAUAUAAAAAGGAAGCUGAUAUGUUUUGAAGGCCCAGCCAAUGGGUGAAAAUGACACUGAUGGGCUAGGGUAGGCCUAUCAGUUAAAAAUUUCACUCUCCUCCUAUCUCCAUCUAUAUAUUUACGUGUAUAUAUUGUAUGUAUACUGAAUAUGUGAAUAUUGGAACCCUUGUGUAUGCUAGAACUUAGGAAGAACGCCUAGUAUUUUUAAGAGGAUGCCAAAAACUCUUUUUCCAAACUUAGUUAGUGUUUAAUUUCGCAUUAACUAGAACUCGGUUUGAUAAUGAGUUUUUCUCUAAAAAUUUUGCUAAACGAUAUGGCUAAUUGUAACGGGAUCUUGCUUAGGUUUAAAACGCAGCGACGUCUAGCGUCUUUUCCCUAAAGCUAGCCAAUAAAUAGAUUUCCAAGCUAUCAUCCGUGAUUUGUAAAAAUAGGCGAAUUGUUUAACAUUUGGAACUGGUUGAAAACAGUCUUUUAUAAAACUCAAAGACCAUUUUGUAUUUGGGCUCGAUCUGAUUGCAUGCAUUCUUUAAAAAUGGAUUUGGACUUGGUAAAAUCUAAGGAAUUCGGUUGAUUUGGGCUUGACAUCCCCAAAGCAAUAGUGACUAAUAUACUGACUAAAAAUGGUGAUAAAAUAAAUUGGACCAAAAUUGAGGACUUUGGUUUUGGAAUACAAGUUGACUUAUGGGCUCGAAUGAUAAAAUUGGACUUAAAAAAGGUUUCAUUUCUUUAUAUAUAUAAUGUAUAAAAAAUCGGAGAUAUACGCCAUAUUUUCUAUAUAGAUGUAUAAAACCCGUAAGUACUAAACCCAUUUCGUUAGGACUAGAAUAGUAGCGACUCUACUCGGGAGAAAUCUCGGGUGUGUUCUAGUCUGGCAACGAAGUGAGUUGAACAUUUGCGUGGAUUUUUAAACCAAAACCCCCUCUGGUAAGGGGGGACUUUUGCCAAAUUUUUUCUUGGAACCAUGUUAUGAUAUGAAAAAGAAUGACAUUUUGCGAAAAAGUUAAAACACUCUCUUUUGGAAAAUAAAUACAUUAAUCACACAUUGAAACUCGUAGGUCAACCGUAUUCUACAGAUCUUUAAUACCAGGAUGCGUAAAACCUUCCCUAGGAGAUCACCAGAACCCUUACCUCGAACUUUGGUCCAAAAAGAUUUUUGCUUAUUUUUGAAAAUAUCUUUAAACCCAGUUUUCCUAGUUUUCCAUAAUAAAUUAUGUGGCGAGUCUAAAAAAUACUAAAUUCAAUUAGAGCACCAACAACCUCGUAGUAACUUUUAUGCCUUAACCCGCGUAAAAGCGAACUGUAACAAAUAGUAUAGGCUGACUGACCCACACUAGCCUGAGAAUAAGAACUCAAUGGUCUGAAGUUCUGCUUCUUAUCAUUUUGAAACUUAGGAACUGGGAUGUCACGCCCCGAACCAUAGCCUGGGCGAAACACGACACUCGGUGCCUUACUGUAUGUGACCGAGUGAACCACAUGGCUUGCUGAAUCAUCACAUGGCCUAAGAACGCUACUGACUUAAGCCAAAACUCAAACUUUGAGAAUUUUGCAAAAGGUUUGCGAUUUUUAACAGUCUACAACACUAUUCUGAGAUGUUCUGCAUGAUCAGCCUCACUACGGAAAUACACAAAAAUAUCAUCAAUGAAGACAAUGACAAAUAAAUCGAGAUAAAGCUUGAAGACACUGUUCAUAAGAUCCAUGAAAGCAGUUGGCGCAUUUGUUAACCGAAAUGACAUAACAAGAAAUUCAAAAUGGUUAUAACGAGUUCUGAAAGCGGUCUUCGGAAUAUCAACUUCCUUAACCUUUAACUGAUGGUAGCCUGAUCUGAGGUCAAUCUUCGAAUAACAUUGGGCACAGUGAAGUUGGUCAAAUAAGUCACCUAUUCUGGGAAGUGCACACACAUGCAUAAGGAACAAUCCUUCUUUCAGACAAACAAAACUGGCGCACCCCAAGCCAUUCUGUACGGCGGAAUAGAUAUCGGCUUAGUACCGGAAGUAGAUCAAUUCCAAAGUCAAUCUUCCUGUCAGGAGGGACUCCUGAAAGAUCUUCGGGAAAGACCUCUAGAAACUCAUUUACAAUUGAGAUGGACUGGAGAGUUGGAGUCUGGGCAUCUGAAUCCUUGACUCGAACUUGAUGGUAGAUAUAACCUUUGAAAAUUAUUUUUCUGGCUCUUAGGUAAGAAAUGAAUCUACCCCUGGUUACUACUGAAUUACCCUCCCAUUCUAAGACUGGCUCAUUACAGAACUCGAAUCUUACAACUUUUGUUCUACAACAUACCGUGGCAUAACAUGAAGCUAACCAGUCCAUACCCAUGAUCACAUCAAAGUCUACCAUUUCUAAUUCUGCUUAGUAAACUAUGGUCAUGCGGUGAUAAACUAGAACUGGACAACCCCUAUAAAUACGCUUAGCUAUGACUGACUCUCCUACUGGGGUGGACACCUCAAAGGGUAUAUGCAAUUUUUCUUGUUCAAUACCAAACUUCUUCGCAACAAAUGGGGUUACAUAUGAUAAGGUGGAUCCUGAGUCAAUAAGGGCAUAUAUGUCAAAAGUAAAAGCUGUUAGUGUACCUGUGACUAUAUCUGCAGGAGCUUCUGUAUCCUGUCGACCUGUCAACGCACACAAGCGGUUUCGUCCUCCGCAUGUGUUUCCUAACUUAGCUGCAUUGUGCCCCUGCUGGGCCUGAUUGUUACGAGGGACUACUGAAUUCGUGGACUGCGCUAUGUAACCUCCGGUACCCUGUCUAGUUGAUGGACAAUCUCUCUGAAUGUGGCCCUUCUUGCCGCAACCAUAGCACGCAUCUGUACUCGUACGACACUCACCUAAGUGUCUCUUGCUACACUUGCUGCAAGCUGGAAUAGUAUAAGCUAACUGACCCACACUAGCCUGAGAAUAAGAACUCGAUGGUCUGAAGUUCUGCUUCUUGUCAUUUCAAAACUUCGGGAAUGGAGCACUUGUUGUGGAUGGAGCAGGUCCUGCUGACCUGUUCUUAAAGAAUCUCCUAUUCCCAUUACCGCUGAACUGUCCGUUAGACUUGACCCUCUUGUUUAACUCCUUGUCUUUCUCUUUCUUUAAGGUUUCCUCCUCUUUUAGCCUUGUCUCAUUCCCCUGUACGAAAGAAACCAUCUUGGAGAUAGUCAUUCCACUGUUUUGGGCAGCAAUAUUGUCCGCAUCGUACAAAUGGGGAUCCAGACCACCAACAAACCUCCUCAGUCUUGCCCUCAUGUCCGGUAUCAUAAGUGGAGCAUGCUUAGCCAGACUAACAAAUUCCAAAUAGUAGUCCUGAACUGGCCUGCCAUUCUGCUUAAGCUUCAGGAAUUACUCAGCCCAAGCUUCUCUGACUUCUAUUGGCGUGAAGUGUUCUAGGAAUGCGCUUGCAAAUUCAUCCCAUGUAGCAUCAGGUGCAUCAUCACCUCGGGAUAAUUUCCAAGAUUCAUACCAAGUGUUAGCAAUGCUCUGCAGCUGAUAAGCUCCAAAAGUAGCUGCUUCGGUUUCCGUAACUGUCAUAAUCCUGAAGAUUUUUUAAAGAGCAUCAAUAUAAUCCUGAGGAUCCUCGUCUUUCUUUAUCCCCAUGAAGACUGGGAUUCAUCCUGAGAUAGUCCUUAGUCUUAGAAGACUCUCCAUUAUUCCCUGAACUUGACUAGAUUCCUAACGCUGGGCCUGAGCUGCUACCAACUGAGUGAGCAUGUUAGCGGCGCUUCUAACAUCAGUAUCAUUAGUUCCGGGUGGAGGAACUAGAAUCUCUGUUGGAGUAGCAGUCAUUGGUGGCAUCGUCUCUGGCAGAGGUGUCUGAUUCGAAGUGGCUCAGAUAGCCUCUGUCUUUGCAGCAUUAACAGCUGCUCUUUGGAUGGUAGCUUAGUUCCUCUUCGUGUGCUUUCUUUUUGGAGCCAUUUCUGAAAUACGUAAUUCGCACGAGUUAGAAGAUUUUCUGAAAGUACUGUUCUAACUGCACGAUCUAGAGUAUGAAAGAAGUGAGACAAUCUUGAAUGUCUUAGUGGUCAACUAUCUAUAUGGGGCUCUCACACAUAUAAAAGUGACCCCACUGGACACGGUUCCAUAGACUCUCUAAAGACACUUGAACCUAGGCUGUGAUACCAAGCUUUGUCACGCCCCGAACCAUGGCCUGGGUGAAACACGACACUCGAUGUCUUACUGCAUGUGACCGAGCGAAUCACAUGGCUUGAUGAAUCAUCAUGAGACAUAACAUGAGCGGAAAUAUAACGCGAGAACACGAUGGGCUUUUAAGAACAGACACAAAGUCAUAAAAAUUAAUAAAAUACUCGUUAUAACAUGAAUGCGAAAAUACCAUGAAUUGAGCCAAAGAUGGUUAAACAACUUGUAUGUUUGACAUAACUAAACUGGCUAGUCUAUAAAACCUCUAAUCAUGAGUCUUAACUGGAAAAUGUACUUGCUGGGACAAGACCCCCAGCAUACCUUUAAAUGCAUAACUGAUAAAAUAAAGACAACUGACUAAAACCCUAAAUGAGAUGGGGCUCACCAACAAACUGAUACGAGCGAAUCCUACUGAGCAGAUGUGGAGUCCUGUAAAUCUGUACCUGCAUCGUCAAAUGCAAGCCCUCGGGCAAUAAAAGGGGGACGUCAGGACAUUGAAUGUACUGGUAGGUAAAGCAACUGAAUGAAAUAACAUAGGACAUGGAAAUAACAUAAUAGAGACUGAACUGAAACAUAAUCAUGAACAUGAGUACAUAUACAUAUAUAACAUGUGUAAAGUAUUGUCAGUAGGGAAAGCAGUAAAUAUAACCGACAACAUGGUCUGGUACUUGUGUCCUACUAGCAGAAUACUCAUACCUUGCCAGGGACAUGAGAUUUAAUAAUAUUAUGAAAGGAUCCAGUCAUUAUGAGAGAUCGUCGUAAGCAUGGGUGGAGCGAUCCUCAUCAUAUUGUGGCUACGCAGUUUUAGGCUAUUUGAAGCCUUCUCGGUAAUUAAUGCAACUCCCAAAAACAUGAACAUGAAAAAUAAGUGGCACUUGCUACCCAUGACUUUUCAUGAAUCAUAACUUGCAUGUACAUGGAUAUCAUUUGUAUUAUUCUUGCAUGAACUUAUAAAACAUAAAUAGCUUUUCUUGAAAAUAUUAUAAUAGUUCAUAAACUUGCAUGUAAGAAACCAUGGAAUGCAAGGUAUGGGUUUUCAUGGAUUACAGACAGAUUCUCAAUAAUCAUAAUGAUGUAUCAAGAACAAAAUGAAGAAUUUAUAACAAAUUAAUACAUAAUAUAACAUGGGGCAUGGACCUAGGGUUAUCAUGAACAUGGUUAAAAUCCCUAGUUUUCGCAAAGCUUCAUACUUUAUGGAAAAAGAAGAGUGGGGAAGAACAAUGAUGUUCCCACACGUAGAUAGCAACCCCACAUACCUGGUAAUGCUCCAAGCUUGAAAUAAAAAUCUAAACUUAGAAGAAGAAUUCCAAGGUUUAAGUCUUGAGUCCUUUAAAUGGGUUUUCAUGAAAACCCUAUGUUAAGAACAAUGAUUUCAUUGUUAGAUUAUGAGAACACAUGAUAGAAUUUAUUUGGAAGGGUUUGGAUUGACUUACCUUGAUGUUUUGGAUUGUUGGGAGAAGAAUACCUUCGUUCUAGGGUUUAUGGACUUGUAAAAAUAAAUAUUAGAACUGAAACCAGGUAUUUAUAGUUUCUGGUGCGAAGUGAAAAAUACAGACCAAAAUACGAUCUAUUCUGAAUUACGGUCCGUAAACCUGGACCGUAAUUAAGCAUGUUCAAUAGGACAGAAACACUGUAGCACCUCCUUCCCAAUUACGACCAUCAAAUACGGGCCAUAUUUCAAAAUACAGUCUGUGUUUAACAAUAUAUAUUCCCAAAUCCAAAUUCCAGAAUGCACAGUGAUUUAGAUGCCAAAUUACGAUUUUAAAUACGGGCCGUAUACUGAAAUAUAUGGUCCGUAUUCUGGGGCGUAAAUCCCCAUUUGACAACUGAAGAGAAAUUUCCAAUUCCCACAUUCUUUAUCUGGUUUUCUAAGUCUAGAAUCAUGAAUAUAGCCUAUUUUAAAGGUACGGGUUGUUACACAAAUAUACCAUAAGUAUUCCCUGGUAAGUGUGAAAGGAAAUGGUUACCCAUCACUUAUUGCAUACUGGUUUUAUUUUUUGAGUUUUAGUUGGGAGCACCAUCGGUGUAUAGUUUUUCUACACUAUCAGGUAACAUUUACAUGCUAUAGAAGGUUGUCAAUCUAUUCUUAAUUAUUUUCCUUAAUGUUGCUUUUUAUUUUUAUUUUUUAUUUACAUUCUCUCUUUUUCGUUAAAAAAAGGUCGUCUUGCUCGUCUCACAAAUCACAGGAUUAUCACCCACCUAUUUUCUCUCUUUGGCUUCUUGUAACCCAUAUGUUCUAGUUCAUCCGAAAUCUUUUAUUAUCCUCCAGUGAAAAUGCAAAAGGAUUAUAUGGAACUAUCAAUGUGAUUUAAGUUUGUCUAUUUUUCUCCAAUUCUUUUACAAAUUUACUUCAUAAUUGCUAUCUGUAGGGCUUCUGAAUUAGAUAAAUGAAGUUACGAAACAGAAAUAAUCUUAUCAAACCAGAAAAAAAGUUAUAACUUAGAGAUUAAUGGAACUGGAUUAUAUUUUCGAUGAGCUAAAGAGACAAAACCUCUGUAUCAGUGAUUUUGACGAUGUUGUUAAGAAUAAAACUGAAGAAUGUCAAAAAUAGUAAAUAACUGUGGAAAGAAAAUAAUUCACGAAUACAACGCAGAUAUAAUUUAGUUAGCAUAAAGAGGAUUCAACUUGCCUUUAAUAUUCUAUAGGUAAAUUAUAAUUAUAUUAAAAAAGGUAAUAGAAUUACUUAAGAAAUUAUUGUGGUUAUUACCUUUGAAAUCACAUGGUAGUGUAAAAUCUUUUGUCCACUAACGGUGCACCAAACUUAAACUCUUUUUUUUGUUGCUAAUUUUAACUAUUUUUUGCUUUUCGUUUGGUUUUUGUUAAAUUACUCUUCCUUUUAGAAGGUUAUAUGAGGGUUAUUAGCUGGAUGAGAAUAAUUGAGCGAACGGUCGAUAAACUAUUAUGCAGCCUGGUAUUAGUACUUGAAUUAAGCAUUAGCGUACCACAAUUUUUAUUGUUUCCAGCAGAAAUAAGUGAUAAUUUGAUAAAAUUGCUUCAUUUUUAGCCUUAUUUAAUUUGGGGCGGGUCGGGUUUGUCGGGUAUAGGUGGGUUGGGAUCCAAUCAACAUAAUUUAAAAUUAAUUAGAUUAGUUAAUUAUAUGGGGUAACCAAUUAAAUGCUGUCAUGUCAUAAAUGAGAUGAGACUGUUAGAAAUAAGGGUAUAUUAGACCCCAUAGGUGAACGGCAGGGGUAUUUGGGGGCUCAAAGGUGGAUGGAAGAUAUUUUUGUACCAAUUCUAAUAGUUCGAGGGUAUUUGAGGCCCUUUUUUCGUUUAAUUAAAUCUGAUUACCCAUUUUAAUUACCCGAAUCCAUUUUAAAACUCGCCCGACCCGAUUUUUUCUUCUUCUUUCUCUCGUCUUCUUCUGUCCAAUUCCUCCAUCAACGGAAGCCCCUUUCCGUACUCCUCUAAUUAAUUAUGAUUUCUUGUCCUGGUAUGUCGCUGUUUAAUCCACUAUAGCAAAUUUCAUUUUGUUAUAGAAGAAAUUGUGAGCUAACACUACCUGCCUCGGUUUAAUACUUAUUUGAUUAAUUUCCAUCUACUAGAUGGAGCAUCGUAAGCUAAAAACGUGGCUUCAUUGAAGUUAAAAGACUAAAUUUCCAAAUUUUGAAAAACUACACUAAAUUCGUUAUAUAUUUUCUUCAUUAAUGUUUCACAAGGAGAAACCAUAAUCACCGUUGUAUGCCCAAAAUAUCAUAAAAUACUACAUGAAGCAAAACUCUUAAUCAUUCUGCGACGUCAAUGACAAAAUGUAUUUAAUCAGAUUUUUAUGACGCCAGACUAGAGAAAAAUGGAAAAGGGUUGUCAUUGAUGGAGGGCUUAGAAGAGAGAAAGAAGAAACAAAAGUCGGGUCGGGCCGAGUUUUAAAAUGGAAUCGGGAAAUUAAAAGGAAAUUUUCCUUGGGGUAGAGAACAUAUAAGUGGUAUUUAUAUUUAGUAACUAUAUUUUAUUUUAGUUACAUCUGGUAGCUAAAUGUUGUAUUUCAAUUACACAAGGUAACUAAUACAUAACUCUCCUCCUCUCUCUCUCACUCUCUAAUGUCUAGAACUCUCUCCUCCUCCUCUCUCUCUCUCUCUCUCUCUAACGUCUGGUCUCUUCCUUCACCAUCUGGUCUCUCUCUCUCUCUCACUCUCACGUCUGGUUAUGUCUUCCUCCCCAUCUUCUCCGCGCGAGUCUAACCGCCGCCGUCGUCGAACCAUCCUUAAACACCGUCCAAACACCACUGCCGCCGUCGUCACAACACAUACACGUAUACUCGUUGUAUAACAUGUAUCUACAUGUCCACUUCGUAACCCUAUUUUUUUGGAUUGUUAAUAGUUCGUUUGAUUUUUGUGUGGAUCUGCGUUGAUUUGAAUGGAUACGACAUCGUCUUCUUCGUCAAUGGCAGAGUCGUCCUCUUUCUCUCCAUCUUCUCCGGCGAGUUCUAACCGCUGGCGCCACACACCGACCGGAAAGGAGUAGGUCGGUAAGGCUUAGAUCUGACCGGAAAAUACACUGUAUUGUUGUAUACAUACAGUGUAUUUUGUAUUUCGUCAGAGAUCUAAAGUGUAUUUUGUGUUUUUCGCCUGUAUUUCGAGGGAGAUCUUUUUGUAUACAAAUGAAUACAGUGAAUUUGAAGUGUAUUUUAUUUCUUGUAUCUCAAAUCCGAGUGUAUUUUAUUUC